rnacentral:pre_miRNA from 1 species
UGUCUACAUCUUCAUGUUGGUCUACAUCUUCAUGUUGGUCUACAUCUUCAUGAAGAUGUAGACCAUCAUGAUGAAGAUGUAGACCAACAUUAAGAUAAAGACCA